rnacentral:rRNA from 1 species
CCUACGGGUGGCAGCAGUGGGGAAUAUUGCGCAAUGGGCGAAAGCCUGACGCAGCGACGCCGCGUGAGGGAUGAAGGUCUUCGGAUCGUAAACCUCUGUCAGCAGGGAAGAACGCUCACUGUGUUAAUCAGCAGUGAAUUGACGGUACCUGCAAAGGAAGCACCGGCUAAAUCCGUGGCAGCAGCCGCGGUAAUGCGGUGGGUGCGUGCGUUAAUUGGAAUUACUGGGAGUAAAGCGCUCGUAGGUGGUAUUACAAGUCAGAGGUGAAAUCCCCGGGCUCAACGGGGGAACUGCCUGUGAAACUGGCAAACUGGAGUGUGUGAGAGGAAAGUGGAAUGCCAGGUGUAGGAGUGAAAUCCGUAGAGAUCUGGAGGAACAUCAGUGGCGAAGGCGACUAUCUGGCACAUAACUGACGCUGAGGAGCGAAAGCGUGGGUAGCAAACAGGAUUAGAUACCCUUGUAGUC